rnacentral:rRNA from 1 species
UACGGGGGGAGCAAGCGUUGUUCGGAUUUACUGGGCGUAAAGGGCGCGUAGGCGGUCAGCACAAGUCAGUUGUGAAAUCUCCGGGCUUAACUCGGAAAGGUCAACUGAUACUGUGCGACUAGAGUGCGGAAGGGGCAACUGGAAUUCUCGGUGUAGCGGUGAAAUGCGUAGAUAUCGAGAGGAACACCGGUGGCGAAGGCGGCCUUCUGGACAGUGACUGACGCUGAGACGCGAAAGCGUGGGGAGCAAACAGG